GACGAACGCUGGCGGCGUGCUUAACACAUGCAAGUCGAACGGAAAGGCCCUGCUUUUGUGGGGUGCUCGAGUGGCGAACGGGUGAGUAACACGUGAGUAACCUGCCCUUGACUUUGGGAUAACUUAAGGAAACUGGGGCUAAUACCGGAUAGGAGCUCCUGCCGCUGGGUGGGGGUGGGAUAGUUUCGGUGGUUGGGGAUGGACUGGCGGCGUAUCAGCUUGUUGGUGGGGUAGUGUCUUACCGUGGCUAUGACGCGUAGCCGUGCUGAGCGGAUGAGCGGCUAAGUUGCACUGGGACUGCGACACAGCCCCGUACGGUACGCAGCACAGGAGAAUAUUGUACAAUGCGCUGAACCCUGACGCAAUCAAGCAGCGCGGGGUAUGACGGCCUUCGGGUUGUGUUGCACAUUUGCCUUUGACGAGGCGUUAGUGACGGUAAUGGGUGAAGAAGCACCGGCUAACUACGUG
rnacentral:rRNA from 1 species